CACGUAGUUAGCCGAGACUUGUUCCUGAGGUACCGUCCUUCCUCUUCCUCAGAAAAGGACUUUACAACCCGAAGGCCUUCAUCGUCCACGCGGCGUUGCUGCAUCAGGGUUUCCCCCAUUGUGCAAUAUUCCU
rnacentral:rRNA from 1 species